CUGGCCGAUGUCACUCCUGCUGGUACAUACAAGGAAGGGCAAGUUCCUUGCUUCAGUUAUUUCCAAUUUCAGCUGUUUUGUGUCCAAACCACAGUUUUUAAAAUGAGCAAAUAUGAUCUGGGGAAAAUAAAAGAAUGAACUUUAGAUUAAAAAAAAAAAAGAUGAGGUAGCUUUGCUUUUUAAGGAAUACAGUCUUAUAAACUGACAACACCAAAUAUUAUUUUAAAGAAGGAACAUAAAUGCUUACACGGUAAUCUCUAAUCUGUAAAUUAUUUCAUUGGUCUGUAAAUAGCCACCCUUUCUCCUCUAGAAUCUAUCCUCUAUCUAUGUGUCUAUACACCUGUAAGUCCUCAAUUUUAAACUCAAGAAAAGGCUUUGUAUAUUUUUACUCGUAGGCUAAGAAGUAACUGACUUUAUUUUAAGGCAAUGGAGGCCUGAUUUAGGGCUUCCCAAGUGGCACUAGUGGUAAAGAACCCCCUGCCAAUGCAGGAGACAUAAGAGACGCAGGUUCUAUCCCUGGAUUAGGAAGAUCCCCUGGAGGAGGAAAUGGCAACCCACUCCGGUAUUCCUGCCUGGAAAUUUCCAUGGACAGAGGUGCCUGGUGGGCUACAGUCCAUAGUGUAGCAAAGAGUCCAUAGGGUCCUAAAGAGUUCAUAGGGUCGCAAAGAGUCAGACAUGAAUGAGCAACUAGCAUGCGCCAUGCAUGCCUGAUGUACCUUUCAAUGGAAGUUUUGAUAAUAGGGUUGCAGGGUUUCAUGGACACCAGAGGAGGCAAAAGAAGAGGGUUAGAAAAGGUGCUAGAAACAAAGAUUUAUUAAAGGUCUUCCAUGGUUCUAGUACUAUACCCUACCCUGUAGAUUCAUUGAUAGAAUCUCAGUCAUAGCAAAUGCAAUUCUUUCCAGUUCAGGAAAUUUCAUUUUCAAAAAGUGACUUAUUAGACAUUUUCAGUUAAAGACAUGAUAAAUUGAGUUAUGCAGUCAAAAGUAACCAUAAAUUUCAC
rnacentral:lncRNA from 1 species